rnacentral:rRNA from 1 species
CACGCCCUAAACGAUGUCAACUAGGUGUUGGGUGGGUAAAACCAUUUAGUACCGGAGCUAACGCGUGAAGUUGACCGCCUGGGGAGUACGGCCGCAAGGUUAAAACUCAAAGGAAUUGACGGGGACCCGCACAAGCGGUGGAUGAUGUGGAUUAAUUCGAUGCAACGCGAAAAACCUUACCUACCCUUGACAUGUCAGGAAGUCUCGAGAGAUUGAGAUGUGCCCGAAAGGGAGCCUGAACACAGGUGC